UCUGCUGAGCAAGAAAGAGAAUUUUCACAGCAGUAACUGGAUGAAAUUUUCAUUCAAUUAUAGUCCUUUACAUGUCAAAAUGAAAUUAACACUUCACUCCAUUAAUACUUCAGACGAAAAAAGAUUUAUCGAACAUACAUGCUCUCAUUCGGGAAUCCAUAAUGGAGAGAUCCGGCUCUUCUUCGUUGUGUUAGCGGGAUGAUAACGCACGUUGCAGGGCCAAAAGACGUUGAGAAAGCUCACCUCUCAAUUCGCAUGAAGCAGGGAGCCCUGACCUUGACGUCAAUGGAUUCUC